rnacentral:rRNA from 1 species
UGGUGGAGCGAUUUGUCUGGUUAAUUCCGUUAACGAACGAGACCUCCGCCUGCUAAAUAGUGGUCUGGGGUUCUAAUGUGUGAGGGGGUCGUCGGCGAGGAGGGUCUCGGUCUUUCUCUCGGUGGCCUCGGAUCUAUGAUUCUCUCAGUAUCGGUUCUUAGAGGGACUGCCCACGGUAAGUGGGAGGAAGUUGGAGGCAAUAACU